rnacentral:rRNA from 1 species
GACGAACGCUGGCGGCGUGCUUAACACAUGCAAGUCGAACGGAAAGGCCCUGCUUUUGUGGGGUGCUCGAGGGGCGAACGGGUGAGUAACACGUGAGUAACCUGCCCUUGACUUUGGGAUAACUUCAGGAAACUGGGGCUAAUACCGGAUAGGAGCUCCUGCUGCAUGGUGGGGGUUGGAAAGUUUCGGCGGUUGGGGAUGGACUCGCGGCUUAUCAGCUUGUUGGUGGGGUAGUGGCUUACCAAGGCUUUGACGGGUAGCCGGCCUGAGAGGGUGACCGGCCACAUUGGGACUGAGAUACGGCCCAGACUCCUACGGGAGGCAGCAGUGGGGAAUAUUGCACAAUGGGCGGAAGCCUGAUGCAGCAACGCCGCGUGCGGGAUGACGGCCUUCGGGUUGUAAACCGCUUUCGCCUGUGACGAAGCGUGAGUGACGGUAAUGGGUAAAGAAGCACCGGCUAACUACGUG